rnacentral:rRNA from 1 species
AUUGAACGCUGGCGGCAGGCCUAACACAUGCAAGUCGAGCGAGCGGCGGACGGGUGAGUACUGUCUGGCAACCUGCCUGAUGGGGGGGGCUAACUACUGGAAACGGUAGCUACUACCGCAUACCAUCAGAUGUGCCCAGGUGGGAUUAGCUAGUAGGUGGGGUAACGGCUCACCUAGGCGACGAUCCCUAGCUGGUCUGAGAGGAUGACCAGCCACACUGGAACUGAGACACGGUCCAGACUCCUACGGGAGGCAGCAGUGGGGAAUAUUGCACAAUGGGCGCAAGCCGGAUGCAGCCAUGCCGCGUGUGUGAAGAAGGCCUUCGGGUUGUAAAGCACUUUCAGCGGGGAGGCGUUACCCGCAGAAGAAGCACCGGCUAACUCCGUGCCAGCAGCCGCGGUAAUAC